AUUGAACGCUGGCGGCAGGCCUAACACAUGCAAGUCGAGCGGAUGACGGGAGCUUGCUCCUUGAUUCAGCGGAGGACGGGUGAGUAAUGCCUAGGAAUCUGCCUGGUAGUGGGGGACAACGUGUCGAAAGAUGAGCUAAUACCGAAUGAGACCACAGUUCCUGCGGGAAAAGAGGUCAAAGGUAGCCUCUGCUUGCAAGCUAUCACUUAGAGAUGGGCCUGCGCACCAUUAGCUAGUUGGUAGGGUAACGGCCUACCAAGGCAAAGAUGGUUAGCUGGUCUGAGAGGGUGAUCAGCCACAAUGGAACUGAGACACGGUCCAGACUCCUACGGGAGGCAGCAGUGGGGAAUAUUGCGCAAUGGGCGAAAGCCUGACGCAGCAACGCCGCGUGAGUGAUGAAGGCCUUCGGGUCGUAAAGCUCUGUCGGGAGGAACGAAUGCUCCUGAGGUUAACAGCCUCGGGAGGUGACGGUACCUUCAAAGGAAGCACCGGCUAACUCUGUGCCAGCCGCCGCAGUAAAAC
rnacentral:rRNA from 1 species